rnacentral:sRNA from 1 species
GGGCCAGCCUCGACACCCUGUGGUUCUACUCCCCAAGAGACCAUCCCCAAGGGAGCUCAUGUCGUGGGGCCCUGAGCAAGCCCGUUCGCUGGCACCUUCUUCCGGACCCCGCACCGUGUGUGCGUGGAUCGUGCGCGC